rnacentral:lncRNA from 1 species
GAGCCACACAAAGAGAAAGACUUAUUGUCUCCAUUACCCUUGUUUUAUGCUUGGGAUGCUCUCAGUUGCUUGAAGGGUCCAGCCUAUGACCCUGAGACGGACAUUUUGACAUAAUGAAGGUGGCAGAGCAGAAGGAUGGAAAGUGCUUGGGUCCUCCAUGACAUUUCUGGGUCACGAAACUCACCUGGGGACCACCUACCUUCUUGGGUCCAGUGGGGAGACUCCUUCCUGAUCCGGGUGAAUUAUACUUCAUGGACAGCAAUUAAUCCACAAUAACAUCCCUGUCUUGUCUCUUGGGGCUUUCUGACUGCUGCUGAAAUGUGAGGCCCACUAACUGCCUACAUAUGGAUGAAAGUUCUCAUCAGCAGGAGAUGGGAGCUGGUGAAGAGUUUUUUCCCUUCCUCCUCCAAUACUGGCUAUCCUGAGAGGAAGUCGUUCAUAGGACCUUUCAUAAGACAGUCCUCGGGGACUGAGAAAUCAGUUGUGUUUGAUACAAAGCGGUGCCCAGAGUUUACCUUGGGAUCUGUUUUCUGGAAAGCCCAGGCUAAGACAUCAUAUAAUCCACAUCCAGCCAUGAAGCAGUCUGCACAAUAGGAAUAGUAAGGAUGGGGUGGAGUCAAGCAAUUUGGGCUCUGCUCUGGUCUCUGCC